GGACCCGCACAAGUAGUGGAGCAUGUGGUUUAAUUCGAAGAUACGCGCAGAACCUUACCAACACUUGACAUGUUCGUCGCGACUUUAAGAGAUUAAAGUUUUCGGUUCGGCCGGACGAAACACAGGUGCUGCAUGGCUGUCGUCAGCUCGUGUCGUGAGAUGUUGGGUUAAGUCCCGCAACGAGCGCAACCCUCACUUUUAGUUGCCAUCAUUAAGUUGGGCACUCUGAAAGAACUGCCAGUGAUAAGCUGGAGGAAGGUGGGGAUGACGUCAAGUCCUCAUGGCCCUUACGUGUUGGGCUACACACGUGCUACAAUGGUAUCUACAACAGGAAGCAAAACAGCGAUGUUAAGCAAAUCCUUAAAAGAUACCUCAGUUCGGAUUGCACUCUGCAACUCGAGUGCAUGAAGCUGGAAUUACUAGUAAUCGU
rnacentral:rRNA from 1 species